rnacentral:rRNA from 1 species
AUUGAACGCUGGCGGCAUGCCUUACACAUGCAAGUCGAACGGCAGCACGGGAGCAAUCCUGGUGGCGAGUGGCGAACGGGUGAGUAAUAUAUCGGAACGUGCCCAGUCGUGGGGGAUAACGUAGCGAAAGCUACGCUAAUACCGCAUACGAUCUACGGAUGAAAGCGGGGGAUCGCAAGACCUCGCGCGAUUGGAGCGGCCGAUAUCAGAUUAGCUAGUUGGUGGGGUAAAAGCUCACCAAGGCGACGAUCUGUAGCUGGUCUGAGAGGACGACCAGCCACACUGGAACUGAGACACGGUCCAGACUCCUACGGGAGGCAGCAGUGGGGAAUUUUGGACAAUGGGCGCAAGCCUGAUCCAGCAAUGCCGCGUGCAGGAUGAAGGCCUUCGGGUUGUAAACUGCUUUUGUACGGAACGAACGGUAGAGCUCUAAUAAGACUUGCUAUAGACGGUACCGUAAGAAUAAGACACCGGCUAACUACGUGUACCG